GGGGGUACCGGUAGGGUCUCACGUUAACGAGAUCAACCCCCUCCUUAAGUGGUAUAUGGUGCACCAUUCCUCGGUUAGAAGGUAGCCCAGCAUGUUCAGUAAACACCCCGCCAUACUGGACCGAUAGUUGCUCCAUCUCCCGGCCUUGCUCCUCUGUUAAGCCCUGGUAAUCUUGGACAUUCCCCUCUGUCUCCAGCGAGCCCAACUCCCACACCAGCAGCCAAGCCUCUACUUCAUCCAUUUGCAAUAAGGCCCUGGGUUCCACUAUCUUCAUUUCCAACGUGGGGUCUCCCUUCACUGCUAUCUUUCUUCCUCCCUGCUAGUACACCACGGUUAGUUUGCUCCAGUCCAGCGUUACCUCUCCCAAUUUUUCCAACCAUUCCACACCGAGGAUCACAUCUACUCCUCCUAGUUCGAACAAAUAGAACCUUUUAGCAAUUUCUGUCUCCCCUAACUCUAUUACCACCCUUUGGCAACAACCACUUGCCUUCUUCUUCUGGUCGUUCCCCAAACUUACUAGAUACGGAGACAUAUCUACCACAACCACCCCCAUUUCCUCUGCCAACCUUUGAUUGAUGAAAUUGUGGCUUGCGCCACUGUCAAUGAGGAUUAGCAACUAUCGGUUUCCUAUUCGCCCCCGCAACUUCAUUGUCUUGGGAGAGGUCAAGCCACCAGCGGAAAACGUCGAUAGUUCCAUCUGAGUGAGAUUCAACUUGGUUCCCACUGCGCCCCAUUCCUCCUCCUCUUCUUCCACCAUGAUCAACAUUCUUAAUCCCCUCUCAGGGCAUUGAUGGUCGGGACUGAACGACCCUCUGCAUCGGAAACACCCUCCUCUCUCCUCUUUACGAACUCCGAGUUAGGUAAGUUGCGAGUAUUUCUCUCUCACCCGUCGCCAUUGAUUCUCGCGACUCCGCCUCCCUAGGUCGCCUCCUUCUUUAAUGACCCAACACUCUCUGUGACUCCUCCUCGGCCCUGUGUAUCGCGACUAGUUUCCACUCAAGUGACCACCCUUUCCGUUCUCCCCCAAGAACUUUGAUUAUUGGACGCCGAUCCUCCACCAGUCUUCGAGUGAUUACAUAGCUUCUCCACAUCUCUCGCGACUCGCAUGGCCAACAUCAAGUCUUACGGAUCAUGCAGCCUCACAUGGUCGCCAACCUCCUCCUGAAGUCCCGC
rnacentral:lncRNA from 1 species